AGGAUGAACGCUGGCGGUCCGCUUAACACAUGCAAGUCGAACGCAACCUUCGGGUUGAGUGGCGGACGGGUGAGUAACGCGUGAGAAUCUGCCUUGGGGUCGGGGACAACCACUGGAAACGGUGGCUAAUACCGGAUAAGCCUUUGGGUAAAAGAUUUAUUGCCCCAAGAGGAGCUCGCGUCUGAUUAGCUAGUUGGUGAGGUAAAAGCUCACCAAGGCAGCGAUCAGUAGCUGGUCUGAGAGGACGAUCAGCCACACUGGGACUGAGACACGGCCCAGACUCCUACGGGAGGCAGCAGUGGGGAAUUUUCCGCAAUGGGCGAAAGCCUGACGGAGCAAGACCGCGUGAGGGAGGAAGGCUCUUGGGUUGUAAACCUCUUUUCUCAGGGAAGAAGCUCUGACGGUACCUGAGGAAUCAGCCUCGGCUAACUCCGUGCCAGCAGCCGCGGUAAUACGGAGGAGGCAAGCGUUAUCCGGAAUUAUUGGGCGUAAAGCGUCCGCAGGUGGCGAUUCAAGUCUGCUGUCAAAGCACGGGGCUUAACUCCGUUAAGGCAGUGGAAACUGAAUAGCUAGAGUGCCGUAGGGGUAGAGGGAAUUCCCGGUGUAGCGGUGAAAUGCGUAGAGAUCGGGAAGAACAUCGGUGGCGAAAGCGCUCUACUGGACGGCAACUGACACUCAGGGACGAAAGCUAGGGGAGCGAAUGGGAUUAGAUACCCCAGUAGUCCUAGCUGUAAACGAUGGAUACUAGGUGUAAGCUUGUAUCGACCCGAGCUGUGCCGAAGCUAACGCGUUAAGUAUCCCGCCUGGGGGAGUACGCACGCA
rnacentral:rRNA from 1 species